rnacentral:tRNA from 1 species
UGUCUUGGCUCAGUGGAAGAGUGUUUGCCUAGCAUGCAUAAGGCUCUGGGUUCAAUUCCCAGUGCUGACAA